rnacentral:rRNA from 1 species
GACGAACGCUGGCGGCGUGCUUAACACAUGCAAGUCGAACGGAAAGGCCCUGCUUUUGUGGGGUGCUCGAGUGGCGAACGGGUGAGUAACACGUGAGUAACCUGCCCUUGACUUUGGGAUAACUUCAGGAAACUGGGGCUAAUACCGGAUAUGAUCUCCUGCUGCAUGGUGGGGGUUGGUAAGUUUCGGCGGUUGGGGAUGGACUCGCUGCUUAUCAGCUUGUUGGUGGGGUAGUGGCUUACCAAGGGUUUGACGGGUAGCCGGCCUGAGAGGGUGACCGGCGACAGUGGGACUGAGAGACGGAGCAGACUGCUACGGGAGGCAGCAGUGGGGAAUAUGGCAGAAUGGGCGGAAGCCUGAUGAAGAAACGCAGCGAGCGGGAUGACGGCCUUCGGGUGGUAAACAGAUUUCGAAUGAGACGAAGAGGGAGUGACGGUAAUGGGUAAAGAAGCAACGGCUAACUACGUG